GACGAACGCUGUCGGCGUGCUUAACACAUGCAAGUCGCACGAAGUGGCGAACGGGGGAGUAAUACGUGAGUAACCUGCCCUCCUUUUUGGGGUAAGCCUUUGUAACGGGGUCUAAUCCCCGAUAAAAGGGGAUGGGCUCGCGGCCUAUCAGCUUGUUGGUGGGGUGAUGGCCUACCAAGGCGGUGACGGGUAGCCGGCCUGAGAGGGUGACGGGCCACAUGGGGACGGACAGAGGGGCCAGAAGACUGCGGGAGGCAGGAGUGGGGGAUAGUGCACAAGGGGCGGAAGCCUGAUGCAGGGAUGAGGAGUGGGGGAUGAAGGCUUUAGGGUUGGACGAAUCUUUCGGUAAGGAGCGGGAGGGUGGGGAGGAGGCGACGGCUAACUACGUGCCAGCAGCCGCGGUAAUAC
rnacentral:rRNA from 1 species